AUUUUUGUCCAACAUGGGGAAGUACCAUAAACAUUUGUAACUAAGUCAUCAGAUCGAAAAUAGUCUCCACAAAUUAAGACAUAGUUCUGCCACGAGUAUUUGUUUCUCUACUAUCAUCCACAAUUGGUUGGAUUCCAACUGAUUCACCAUGAUUACAUACUACAAUUGUUUCCUUGCUAUCUUGUACACCUGGCUCAAUGCAAAGAAAUUCAUCAGACUGGUAACUAUAAAAAAAAUUCCCUACUAUCCUCCUCCACAACUGGUUGAACAAAGUGCAACUCAACAUUACUCUUGAACAAUUUCAGCCAAUUGAACGUUGAUCCAGAUGAAACUCCACGUAGCAGAAGUGGCUUUGUUGACAAUUCUGGCUUGCUAUACUUAAGUACCGCCAUCCACCUGCCAAUGAAUUUUUUUGGAGUUUUGCUAAGAUGUUUCAACAAGAAAUUAAGUGGUACAAGCUUAAAUAUUAAAAGGAUAGGUACUCAAGAAAAUACUAAAAGCCUUCAUGUAUCAAUUUACAUUGGUAAAUAUCAAGUUUAAAUAUUAAAAGGAUGGGUACUCAAAAAAUAAUAAAAGCCUUCAUGUAUCAACUUACAUUGGUAAAUAUCAAUUGCGCCUUAAAUAAAGACCUUGACCAUUUUUUUUAGAAAAGGCAUAAACGUUGCAGAUUGAUUAGCUCCUUUGAAUUGAUUGGAACAACAAAAGAACGAAGAAACAGAAAGAGAGACAAAGACAAGAGUUGACGAGAAAACGAUUAGAGAAACAGAACAAAUAGACAAGAAGCAUAUUGAUCGAUCACCUCCUCCAAUUGCCUCUUCUGUUGAAGAGAAGCACUAAAAGGUAAUCUACAUUUUUUCACAAAAAUAUAAAAAAUAAAAAGAAACCUUUUUGGGUUCAUAUUAACAAACUAUACUACCUACACAGCCCUCCACCCCACAACAGCCAAGGAAUACUACUGAACAAGUUCUGGAUGAAACUUAUCAUUUCAAAAAAGACUUGACCUGAAUACCCAACAGAAGCAUCUUUUGCACAUGUUUUCACUUAUAAAAUAAAGGGAAAAUGACUUAUAUCUCGAAUAAUGUUGUCAAAUGUGGAUUGACUAACAUGAAAUUGUAAGCUAAAAUAGAGAAGUAAUAUGUGGCUCCCUUCUUUUCCUCCUAUCCAAUAUAUCCACAUACGUUGGUAGUAUUUAAUAGGGAAAUGAUAUUUCCACAACAGUUUUUGAUAUUUCCACACGAAAAGUGUCGCUAUAGAUCCUAUAGCGACGAUUUUUACAUCUACAGCGACACUUUGCGUGUGGAAAUAUCAAAAAUUGUUGUGGAAAUAUCGUUUGCCUAUUUAAUAUAGAUAUCAAUUUGUCAUAUAGUAACAUUCUAAAUAUAAAUAUAAUUUGUUCAUGCAAAUCAUGAGUCCAACAAAACCAUUUGCAUGCAUUCAGAUGAAAUCGCAAAGGGGAAAUAAAGAAAAAAGAAAGACAACUGGAAAAUAAUGCAUAACAAGCUCUUCAUGAAGUAUCUAAUGACUUCCUUCAGUGUUGCUUUCCUAUCUUCUUUUGAAUUCCAGAGCUCAGAAACCACAUACCUACCACUUGGAUUGUAUUCAUUCAUCUCCAACAAGGCUUUACUUACCGCACUAUAUAUUUCAAUUCCCCACUCCUCCUUCAAAUUUCUGAACAUUUCAUCAUCCGGGUCAAUAAUCUCCUGCAAUAGGCAAAAUGUUAAUUUCUGACGGUUCCUAAAGCAUACAGGACAACAGAAUAACAUAAAAGCACGGUGAAAACUCUUUAAAAGUCGCUGCAAAUUUGCCUAGCUGAAAGGCUUUCAUAUCAAUUUCUCCCAUUCUCUUAAUGCUGAUAUUAGUGCGCGGGCCGCUCAACAUCUCGCUCAAGCCCUGUCAAUGAUGACGUCAGCUUGAAGAAAAUAUUACUAAGCAGAAGAGUAAUCAGAGGGCUGAUAAAGGGAAUACUCAUAACUUGCUGCAAUAUAGUUAUGUCAAUCAAACAAUCUAGGUAACUUAAUCAACUAUUUCCACUGUCAGAUUAAGAUGCUUUUUUUUAUAGCCCACUACUACUUCUAUUUUCCCUUUAUAAUUUAGAAAAAUAAUUUUCAUAUAAUCAUACUUAUUGUCCAAUAAUAUAUCUAACUUAAAUUCGCAUACUACAAUCGUAGUACUCAUUCCAUUACCUCAGCAUGCCAUUUCAAAUCACAGUACUAACUACUAAAAAAUGCCAUUAGAAAAAUGUCAUACCUUAAUCAAUUUUAUACGGGCUUCCUGCAGCUCGUCAUUACUCUGCCGCUCCUUUUGGUUACUACUUUCUUUAGGUUGCUUUCCCCUUUUCAUUACUCACAAAUUUCUUAGAUAAAAGGCCACUGAACACGCGAAAGAUUAGAGCGAGCGAGAGACGACUAUUAAUGGAACCCUAACUUUUUGCCUCAAUUUACCGAACCCUCAAUUGUGGAUAUCUAAAUUUCUCAGCUUUAGAUGAGAGAGGGAGACUCUUGGUCGGAAAACCGAUCACUAUACACGCGCAAGUAUACGCGGUCUAACAAGUAAUACAGUAAUAAGUAAGAAUGUCGUACCCACGAGAAACUAUGACUAAUAUUUAUCAAGUACCAAUUAUGUAUUGCUAAAGUCUUAUUCGAACAACAGUAAAUGAAAGUGUGAUUAAUCUAGUUAAAACUAAUUUACAAAGCAAGUAAAUGGAUAACGAAUGGUAAUCUAAGGAAAUCAAGCUAAGGUCACAACUUUACCCCACACAGGCAUUCUGUCGAACACCUGGCGUGUUAUGUUUCAUCAAACUAGUUACCCUUCUCUCUUUGGUCUUAAUGGUCACCUCUUUGGUCUUAAUGGUCACGACAAUUUGUCGACCGAGAACACACAAGUGCUUAUGCACCUCUGUCGAGGUAUGCACAAACAUAUCAUCUCCAAAUCCACCCGAAAGGUAAUAGAACAGAAAAGAGCGUCCAAGCUAGAUACAACCCUACAUAUGUCUAUGCGAAUUAAUCAUAACAAGGUUUUAAGCAUAGGUUUUCUAUUAGGUCGCACGUGGCGCACAAAGAUAUGUUUAUUCUACGCACAACUUAUGCAGUCGAAACCCACAAUCACAUGCCAAUAUAUUUAGGUGUAAAUCUACAAUUCUUCUGUCGAUAUCAUGUAGAUUACCAAAAUCAUCACUAAUGUCUUAGCGAGAAUCAUAAAGCACAAAUAUAUUAAUCCAAAUCAUAUGGUGCCAACCAAAGAGAUAAGACAGUCAAUUUAAAUAACAAAGGGUUCCAUUAUAAUCUUAGAGCAAAUACUCAGUUCAUAGCUAUUAAACCAAAUAUGAGUAGCAAUAAAGACAAUAUUUAUAGAAUACAAAAUUAGAGGAAAUAAAUGGAUAAGAGGAAACUCUGUCAAAGCCCUUCACUCUCUACGCAUUCCACUCAAAUCAAGCUUUCCAAUCCGUGCGUUGCUCUUGUGCUCCAAAGUAAUAACAGACUUCUCCCUAAUCUACCUAAUCUAUAUUUACAAACAUGAGGAAGAAAGAGAAAUUACAAAGGAAAACUAAUCUAAGCUAAACUACUGCUAUUCUAAGGUCUCCUAUGAUAUAGGUUAUGAGAUUAUGAGAGAGAUUGAAAUGCAGAGGCUUCCUUCUGUUAUAUACGCCUCUUGCCUUCAAGCUAGGUCAAAAAUCAUUUGUCUCUGCCUGGGCACCGGAGCUCGCGUUGCGGUGCGAGCAAUAACUCUAUGGUUGGCGCUGCGGCGCCACAUUAGUAUGAAAGACACGGAGCUCGCAUUGCAGUGCGAGUCCAAGAAGGGUCAGUGGCACUGCGGCGCCAUGGUGACAUCAGCAGGGACAGGGGAGGUGGCGCUGUGGCGCGAGCAUAAGCCUUGGCUUUGGCGCCGCGGCGCGGGCAAUGUAAAUUGGCCAUUUUGUCCCUAAAAGCUAUAAAACACCUGAUAAGCCCUGUAAUAUGUCGAUUAAGCACAAUAACAUUAUAAUCAUAUAAAACCAUAUAAAAUAUACGAGAACAUACAACUAUUUAAGUCAUAAAGUAUCCGAUUCGCGGGUAUACAUUCCACUCAUCAAAUACCCCCAAACUUAAGUAUUUGCUUGUCCUCGAGCAAACUAAUGAACACAACACUAAUAAUAAAUAAAACACACGCGAAAGAAAGAUAAAACAGUAGCCACUCCCAGAGAAUAGGGCAAACACAGAUAUGAAUAAGGGUUCAUUCAAUUUCAAGCAUAAGACUGUAUUCGAUCCAUUCUAUGUGUGUGUGUGAAGACCAACCGUCCUAACUAAUCAUAGCUCAAAUAAGUUCGCACAGUCGAUUGUUAAUAAUAAUAUGCACACUCCGCAACUUAAACAAUCAACAAGCAUUAAGAAUAAAACGCAAGUGCAGGAAAAGAUCAAAAGACUCUAGCAUGACGACAGUAAAAUCUGACUCGGACAGUCCUUAAUUACAUUAGGCUAUUCAGAACUACCCAUGAAUGAGCUUUUGAUCAGUGACUCCCAAGCCAGACGACUUUAGGGCACUAGGUGUAGAACACCCCUAUGAAUCUAAUAACUCGAGCAAUAAAGGCCACGUAAUCAACAUAAGCCAACUGAGAUUUUACAACAAAAACGAAGAUUAUUUAGCAAGUGAAUUUUAUGCCCAUCUUGAUAUCGGUCCUGCGUUUAUGGGCGAGUGAGUUUUACGCUCCAUCUCGACCCACCGCAAAACUUUCGAUAUUAACUCUUCUUUUCUAUUUUUAUUCUUAUUUCAUUCAUUUUUUUUAUAUGUCAACAUGCCAGAAACCAAGAUCCAAAACUGUAUAAACGUCUAAGUCUUUUAUUACCUUGUAAAACUGAAAGUUUAUAAAAGUGAACAAACUCUCACAGCAAUAAACAUGCAAACUAAAUUCGAAAAAAUAAAUAGUUAACACAGUUGGUUGGUGCUUGCUAAGAAGGACGGAUCAAUAACAGUCUAAACUCAUCGAUUGAACAACCCCUAGCUCAUACAUGCUUGACACGACUCUAAGAGAUAGGCAUAAAUACUUGACGCUUGUCAGCCACAAUCAAAAUUUAAACAGACAUGGGCGCGUGGACACUUAAACAGACACGGGUGCGUGGACACUUAAACAGACACAUAGGCACAAUGACGAUAGUCUUGGGGCACACAGACAAUAGCGCCCAGCCGCCCAGUGUCAUCGCUCGACCUACUAGUGCAUAUGAUCCUCGUCGCCAGGACCACUAGCACCCAUAUACUCAUAUGCCUUUGAAAUCACGCCCAUAUUCACCCUCAAACAUGCAUGACACUCAACAUCUCUACCCACACUUGCGCCCAGUACCCUUUUACUCCCAUACCCACGCGUAAAUACUCCGCAUCCUAUUAAUUGCACCAGUUCUGCUUAUAAUACUUUUGUAUGCGCCUGCGCACGCAUGUCCUCAAACGCUUAACAACUGGGAUAGGGAUUGGGUGCCAUACUACGCAUUUCCACGCAGACAUUUAGCCCCAUAACCUAAUCGUCCUUUCCCCGUCACCCGAAGCACCAGUACUAUUUCUCCUCCGCGCUAGUGUACCCAAUCCAACCGCACACCCAACGCCUUCUUCCAUGCGCCACAGUUCUUGUGUUCCCCAAUUCACAAGCGCCUAUGCGCCCGCACCAUCAAUACCCAUGUGCCUUAGCGCCUACUUAAUGUAGGACAAAGUGGGAAGAAAAAGUAAGAGUACCUAUCUCUACAAAAAAUCGAUAAAGAAACACAAACAAAAGCACACAACAUGGAUGGUCUAGCAAUCAAGUUAGUAGCUAUUUCAAACAUGGAUGGUCUAGCCAGAAAUUAAAAUAUUGCACGAGGCAAAACACCUUAAAGAUAUCUGACCCGGUAGCUCACACAGCCUCUUCUUUAGUUUCUGUUUUUAAAAAAUUUAAUUUAUUUUUUUUUUAAAAGUCCUCUAUAAGUUUUAACCUGCUUGUUAAGUAAACCAAGAUUAGAAGCACGACUUAAAAGAACAAAAGCAAAUUCUGAAAUAUGUGUCAGAGACAUUCCCACCUAUAAAUAGAAUAAUCAAGCUCCUUUGUCUGAGCAACUUGGUGAAAGUAAUCAAAAAUCCAAUGACAUAAGACAAUGCAAGAGUUACGGUAAAAUCUUACAAGAAGAGAAGCCUAGUUAUUGUAACCAAAUCCCAUGACUACUAUAGUUACAACAACAGUUUUUAUAAUGAUCACCAGAAUAACGGCUGCUAGUAAUAUAUCAAUGUGAUUCCAAAGAAAAUGAACAUGAAAAAGCAUCCCAAUGCUGGCGAGGAAAAGAGCAGCAGAGAAGUUGCGUAUGGGAUCAACCUAAAACAUAGUGAUCCCUAAAUUUUAAGCAAAGAAGUUGAAUAUAGGCACAACCUACAAGAGAAUAAUCUCCAAAAAUGAUUAUACAGACUUGUGAAACUUUGCAACCAAAGAUUAGGGGAAAAACUACAGAGAAGGUCGAUGACCCACAUUUUGACUUUGUUCUUAAUCUUAAGUUUUCUUUUGUCACAAAUCACAAUGAGGCUUUCUUAGGUUCUUUAAUUAGUUUCUUUUGCAGAUGUCAUGAUGAGUUUGCCUUCAAGGCAUGAUAUAGUUACUUUAUGGUUGCCCUGGAUAUAGAGUUUCUAUAUACGAUUAGGAUUGAUAGGUGGUAUACAUGUCCCUUUAGUUGCUCCUACACUCUGAUUUUAUCUGACAUGUGUAUUUAUAGGGAAAUAGUUGCACUUCUUUUUCUUUUAUCUGGAUGAUCCAAAUUAUAUUUAAGGAAAGUAAAUAUAGAAGGAAGGAGAAGUUUAAUGGGAAGAAAAGAAAACCAAUGGUCAGAUAUGCACAGGAAAGACCUAAAAGUGAGAGCCAGCAAACUCGCCCAAACACAGUGGAUCAGGAGAUUAAAAAGAGUACCAUGUAAAUAAAUAGUAAAGACCUAAUUAUAUCUGCAUGUAUGAGAACGUGCAUCUGAUUAUAGAGAAACAUCUAGAAAGCUUACCGGUUCAAGUGUAUGUUGAGCAAGAUUUGUUGUUGAUAUCAUCACUCCAGCAGCAAAGGAACCCAGUUCAAGGCUCAGGCCCAACUUAUCACUACAAUGUAAGACAACAUAAACAAAAUUAUACACUAACAAAUGUACAACUGUACAUUUAGGAGGUUAAUAAAUAAUUGGUUUGCACACUACGUGUUUGUGGUAUUGCCUAAGUAAAUCGAUUUCAUUUUGUGGUGGUUUUUGCUUGGAGUGUUGAUUGUUAAAUUUGUUGGGUUGACUACAAUGGCUUCAAAGCAUCAAAGGGGAGAUAGUUCACGAUCCUCCCAAGCUUAUGAGCAUAUGAGAUUUAUUAGUGAGGAGGCAUCUGAACGCUUCCAUAACAUAUUGACGGGGAAGACAUUUGUUCUAGAAAGGGAUCUUAGGUUGGAUGAGACUCGAGACGAGGAGAAGGGCGUAAUGAUUAUGGAACAAAAUUGGUUUGAUGUAACGGAGCAACCGGACUCAAUUGUCCUUGGUUAAGGAAUUUUAUGCAAACGCAAAAGAGACGGUGAAUUGUGUGGUGCAAGUUCGUGGUAAAUUCACAUCGUAUGCUCGCACGGUGAUCAAUUCUUAUUUAAAUCUACAAGACAUCAUGUUUGAUGACUAUUUGUAUUAUGGCUAUGAUUGAUAUGAGUUGGAUAUGGUGAUUCGCCGACUAUGCAAACCGAGAACCACACGGACUUUGAAGCAAAAUACUAACAAAAGAGUGAGUUUCCCGCACACUGCAUUAAGUCGUUAUGGGAAAGCAUGGUACAGUUUCAUCUGUGCUAAUUUAAUGCCAACA
rnacentral:lncRNA from 1 species